GCAUCGGUGGUUCAGUGGUAGAAUGCUCGCCUGCCACGCGGGCGGCCAGGGUUUGAUUCCCGGCUGAUGCA
rnacentral:tRNA from 1 species